CCUACGGGAGGCAGCAGUGGGGAAUAUUGGGCAAUGGGCGCAAGCCUGACCCAGCAACGCCGCGUGAAGGAAGAAGGCUUUCGGGUCGUAAACUUCUUUUCUCAGGGACGAAGAAAGUGACGGUAACUGAGGAAUAAGUCACGGCUAACUACGGGCCAGCAGCCGCGGUAAUCCGUAGGUGGCAAGCGUUAACCGGAUUUAUUGGGUGCAAAGGGCGUGUAGGCGGGAGCGCAAGUCAGAUGUGAAAACUCAGGGCUCAACCCUGAGCCUGCAUUUGAAACUGUGUUUCUUGAGUGCUGGAGAGGCAAUCGGAAUUCCGGGUGUAGCGGUGAAAUGCGUAGAUAUACGGAGGAACACCAGUGGCGAAGGCGAAUUGCUGGACAGUAACUGACGCUGAGGCGCGAAAGCGUGGGGAGCAAACAGGAUUAGAUACCCCUGUAGUC
rnacentral:rRNA from 1 species